rnacentral:rRNA from 1 species
GAGGGAAAGGUGAAAAGUACCCCGACGAGGGGAGUGAAAUAGUUCCUGAAACCGGAUACUUACAAACAGUAGGAGCCCGCAAGGGUGACUGCGUACCUUUUGUAUAAUGGGUCAGCGACUUAAAGUAACGAGCAAGCUUAAGCCGAUAGGCGUAGGCGCAGCGAAAGCGAGUCUGAACAGGGCGUUCAGUUCGUUGCUUUAGACCCGAAACCGAGUGAUCUAGCCAUGAGCAGGUUGAAGGUGCGGUAACACGCACUGGAGGACCGAACCGGUGUCUGUUGAAAAAGACUCGGAUGACUUGUGGUUAGGGGUGAAAGGCCAAUCAAACUCCGUGAUAGCUGGUUCUCCCCGAAAUGCAUUUUAGGUGCAGCGUCACGUGUUUCUUGCCGGAGGUAGAGCACUGGAUGAGCUAGGGGGCCUACAAGCUUACUGAACCCAACCAAACUCCGAAUGCCGGUAAGUGAGAGCGUGGCAGUGAGACUGUGGGCGAUAAGGUUCAUGGUCGAGAGGGAAACAACCCAGAUCACCAACUAA